GUACAAAAUAGAAUUUUAUUUCAUUUUAAAAUACAUGCAAAAAUGCAUAUUGAGAGCAAAGUGCUUACAAAAAAUGCACACUGUGAGGUAAAAUGCAUAUCAAGAAUGCACAUUUUGUGGAAAAUGUGUUCAAUUUUUCACGAUGUAUUUUUUAAAUUAAAAAAAAAUCAGAUUAACGUGGCAAUGGGAGGGCAAAUUUAAAUAGAGACAGAGUGGAAAUGAACUGAUGCCUCUCUCUCUAUUUGUUUGUGGGUCACUUUAAGGCAGUGAGAAUCAAGUACUGACUCCCCCAACCCCUUUCUCCCUUUUCAAAGAGAUCCUCUGGGGAAACUAGUGACUGAGUUCAGUCUUUGUUAAAUAUUAUUUUCCUUUUUCACAGAGAUUGUGCGGUGGUUGCACUCCAAAUCCCUUGCACCCAAGUCAGAACUUUUGCCACUGGACUACACAGGCUGUCCUUAGAUGUUUAGCUUUUGAGCCUCCUAGUUUGAGAAUGUAGCUUGGAUAAGUCAUGGUGGUCUAUAGCAGGCUCAGUGCCACUCGCUUGACAUUACUGUCACACUUCAUCAAUGGGGAGAUAUUUGGCAUAUAUGGUGCACUGAGGCAGGGGAGGGAGGCCAAAGUAAACCUUGAAAACAAUUGGAUCCAAGCCCUUCUCCUGAUCCUACAAGACAAGUUCUUGAUUACUUAGUAGUUUAAUUAAUGUCAACCUUCCCCAGCAAAGCUCGUGGGAGCAAUCAUUAUGCUGACACAAAACCAUUUUAAAUGCUUGGCAUUCUACCAAUCACAGAGCUAAGCAUUCCCAUGGCAGAUUGCACGAUCCCAGAGCCAGAUCUGUGCAAGAUUUUUACAAGAGGCUCUUUAGCAGCACCAAUUCAAAAGCUUUGCAUUUUUAUCCUAAACAUUACAAGGCAAUUUGGAAGUUUUCUCUUUUGAAAUGUUUACUGCAGCAAUCCAUGUUGUUUGGUUUUAAUUCUUCUCAAAUCUUUUUUUAAAAAGUUUGAUUGCCUCUGUCCUUUUGAACAAUAGCCAUUUUCAUUUUACGUGAAUAGUCUCUAUGAGCAAUGAGACACCACCCACUGUGCGCAGAGCCUAACACAGUGUUCCCCAAAUUUCUAAGAAUUGAAGGACCAGCCCUACCAGUAGGCAGAGGGAAGCAGCUGCCUCAGGCAACUGAUUCCAGCAUUCAUUGGGAGAAGUCAUGUCCUCUAAAUGUAUAUGGUAUGUACACAUGCAAGAGCAGCAAACUGUUGCCAACGUCUUGGACCAGCCUUGCCUGAUGAACACCUGGAUUUCUUUGAAGCGUAGAAUAGUAGAGUUGGAAGGGACUGCAAGGAUUUACUUGUCCUCCCCCUUGCAAUGCAGGAAUCUCAUCUAAAGUAUCCAUGACAGAUGCCCGUCUAACCUCUGCUUAAAAUCCUCCAAGGAAGUAGAGUCCACCACCUCCCAAGGGAGUCCAUUCCACUGUCAAACAGCUCAUACUGUCAGAAGGUUCUUCCUGAUGUUUAGUUGGAAUCUCCUAUCUUGUAACUUGAAGCCAUUGGUUAAGAGUUCUGCGCUCCAGGGCAAGAGAAGCUCCAUCUUCCAUGUGACAGUCAUUUAGAUAUUUGAAAAUGGCUCCCAUCUCAUCACAUCACAUCAUAUAUCACACAUCACAUAUCACACAGUAUAUCAUAUUAUAUCAUAUAUCAGUCUCCUCUUUCUCUUUUUUUAAAAAAAUAAUUUUAAUUAACCGACCAAUCAAAUCAAAUCAAAUCACAUCACAUCACAUAAAUUCCGAAUUACAAAGCUGAACUUUAAAUUUUUUGUUGGGGGUACCCAUAUUUCAAGUUCCGAAGGGGAUUCCAAUCAUCUUCUUGCUGCUGCGUUAAUAUCCACAAAUCUGUCCAAAUAAUGUUCAUAAUUCUAUCCAGUCCUAUCUUGCUGUUCCCACAUCUCAUCUUAUUCAUAUAUUUUUCUUUUUAAUUUGUGAUCUCUUCUGAUAAUCUCCUUAAGCAGGUAAACACCAGUUAUAAUCCUGUGUGAAUUUUUCCGUUCAUCCAAUCACCAUAUCGAGAUGGUUUCCAUAUAUCAUCACUUCCAUAAAUAAAAGCACUCUUUCCAUCAUUAAUCUUCGCAAAUCUGUCGCCUUCUUUAGUCCCUCUGAGGAGGCUCACCCACAAUAUGAAAACAGAUCCAUUCCUCCUCCCAGACAUAAGUCUUUCGACAGAACUUGCCAAAAUGGCGACGCUGUUUUUUACUGCGCCUUCCCAAAGCUCUUAUACUUUCCACGAUCUCCUUAAAACUUGCUUUUGGUUAGAAAAUUAUCUCCACACAGUCUUAAAUCAUCAGCUUAGGUCAUUUAAGCGGCAUUUCUGACUUGUGUGUGGGGGAUUCUUGGUUAAUCACAUAGAGAAAAGAAAGGAAAGUCCCCCCCCCCAUCCAGUCCCGUUGCCGACAUACCGAGCCUUGGUGUGUCUUCUCAUGAUAUAUUCCUGUUUAUCCGACCCGUCUUCUUUCUCAGAGAUCUCUUCAAUUAGCAGUCUUUACUCCCCAUUCUUCCUUGAAAUAUUUGCAUUAGCUUCCUCCUAAUUGUUCCUUUUGAAGUUGCUGCAGCUGGAGGCACGAAUCAGAGACAGCGCCCAGGAGAGCCGAAGUCCACACAAGGGCUUUCUGCCUAGUGCCCCCACCCCCUCGAGUUCGGGGGUGGUAUAGGGCACAGCAGGCAAGUGCAGUCCCCCCCCCCACUCGCUUGGGGGGGCCGGGAGGCUGCUUACUCCCAUCACAGCCUCUUAAUUACCUCGUGUGGGUCGGAGAGAUGUUAUUGUCGGCCAUCUUCCAAUGCGCCCCUAGUGGCCCCCCCAGUCUCCUCUUUCUCAGGCUAAACAUACCCAGCUUCCUCAACCGUUCCUCAUAAGGCAUGGUUUCUAGACCCUUGAUCAUCUUGGCCACCCUUCUCUGCAUAUGUUCCAGCUUGUCAAUAUCCUUAAAUUGUGGCACCCAGCGCUUUCCCCAUCUCUCUUCUGAAUUUAAAUGAGAGGUAGACUUACAAUUGCAUGCAAAAAGGUUUACAGUACUUUGAAAAUGUGUAAGAGGAAGAAUUGCCUUCCUUCAGGAAAGCCAGUCCCUUAUGCCAUGUUUCAAUUUUUUGGGGGGUGGGCAACACUUUAAGCUGCCUCUUUGCCUUGUCUAGGCAGAUUUCUGUUCAGUAAAAAAUGGAGAGGAAAGAAGACAGGAUCCUGUGUAAUGUGUAUGCCACAAACAGGAGGCUUAUCAAACUUCUGGUGGGCCAGAAUGCAUGGGAAGCAUUCGGCAUGGUUGGUCAUGGGAUGAGCGCAGAGGUAAGGUGGCCAUGUGUCCUACUUUACAGGAGAAAGAUUGAAGGACUGUCUGAUUCAAGUCUGUUUUACAGAAAAAGAACCAUAAGAAGUAGGGGUUUUAAAGAUGCCCAUCAAGAGUUGGGCUGUGUUUCCGUUUGAAAUUACAGUAACAAUGUCUGAUUGCAUUUAUGCACGCAAUUUAACAUAUGCAAAUACCACGCAAAUCUUCACCCUCUUUUUUGUCAGCGCAUUGGGAGGGGGGCGGGUAGCAGGUGGAGGGAAGGGAUGGGGAAACAUUCCUUUCAUGAACAACUUCAGUUUACUUACCUUAGGAGCCAAGCCCUGUUUUAGAUUUUUUUUUAAAAUGGCAACAGCAGUCCAAUGUUCCAUCCUGCUUUGUGGGAUGGGGGUGGGGUGGGAGUGCAAGGCAGGGCAAAGGGGGAGGUGGAAAACUUUUCUACUGCAAACUUCGUUCCGUUAACUUCUCUUAGGAUCCAAGUCAUUGUACUUGUGAGUGUCGAAAUGCCAUCCCCAAGCUGCAUUGGCCAUAGCUGACUUUGCAUCCCAGGCACAGAGCCAAGUUCCUACUUCCUGGUGCUGCAAGUCAGGCUGCUCCCUAGGAUCAGGGCACCAGCUAAAAUUGUCAGUAUGUCUUCUUUUCCGGCUCGCUCAACCCAAAAGUGAUUCAGCUAUCUCUGGGAACAAAGCAUUUCGAUGAGACAUUCGCUCUGAAAAUGUCUAUCCCUGUCUGAGAGAGCUCCUGGCAACCAGAGAUAGGAUAGGAGCCCUUUGAAGACAACUUUCUGAAUGCCAUCUGAGGGAGAGAAACAAUAGGAAUAGCGAAUAGGGAGGAAUAGGGAGAGAGGCAAUAGGAAAAUAAGAUUCAGGGGUUUCUUAGCGAUGCUACCACUUCAAGAAACAUGGGCCUAAUUCCUAGAAUAGGUCUCGUUCCUUGAAAGCCCAGAAGGACAGCCACUUCCUAGAGAGAUAAUGUCUGGUAUUCGUCUCUCUCAUGCGCAAACACACCCACACCAAAAUGUUUGUUUUGACAAAUAGGUUCUUUUCCUUUAUCUCUCUUUAAACAAGGGACUUUUUUUUUAAGGGCUUACAGAUCUGAGCCCUCUGAGAAUUCAAAACUUCAGUUGUUUGAGCUUGUGCUAAGUAUAUUUACUCAAGAUUUACGACAAAUCCCACAGAACAACAGAGAAUGCUAAAUACCUUUCAAAUAGGCUGGAACUUAGCUAAAUACCUACGAACUUGCAGUCUGCGGCUUCCUAGGAAUAGGCACCGCUAUUCUCAACGUAAAAACAAAACAAAGGAGGACUUGAGGUCAAUAGAAAAUUUGAAAAUCCUGGUCUAUUCACGAGACACUAGACAGUCCUUUUAAAGUGACAUUUCAAACAACUUAGACCGCUUGUGACAAAGGCCUUUCUCCUACCCCUCCUCCUGAUUUGUAGCAACUUUAUUCAUUGCUAUGUUCUAUCCCUCCUAAGAAAAUCCUGCCCUUCCCUAUUGUGUGUGUGUGUGUGUGUGUGUGUGUGUGUAUACACUAGCCCAAUGAAACAGAUUUUUGGUUAGGAUUUUCUUCUCAGAAACAAUUCGGACAAAAUUUUACUGUAAUAGGCUAAGCUUGGAAUGUGUAGAACUGCUUUUCUUGCACAAAAUGCCAUUUACAGGCCUGUCCAGCACAAUGUGCCAUCAUGUUUUUGGAAAUUAGGAUCAUCCUUGCCAUCCUGGCUUUUGAGAUGCAGGUGGAAAGAUACAGAAUCUCACAUCUUUCCGCUUGCAGCUGACAAGGGGAGGUCUUUUCAGCUACCCAGCGCCUUUUUUUCCUGUACCCCUCUUCCCCCCCCCAUUGUAAUAAUUGUGAUUUUACCUGUUUCAAAUAAACAAAUUGGAGUGACGUUUUAUAAAUCUGCCAGCAGCAUCCUCCCUUAAGACACAGGUGUCCUUUACUGUGACAUGGAAAACAUUGACAGGUUUGCUGGAUGAGAAUUCGAGGUGGAUGAAAGCACUGUUAGACUGGUGCUUAAGAUGCGUCAUGAAACAAACGCUUCUGUACUCAAGCAGAAUAACUUCUCCAGUUCUGAAGAUUCUCUAUAACUAUUUCAAUUAAGUGAAUAGCCACUGUUUAUACUGAUUUGCACAACCAAGACUGUACAAUUAACCAAAUGUGAACUUCAUCAGAGACUGUGGAUUAUGCUAUUCAUAUCAUAAUUACAGAGGAGCUUAAUUGCAACUCAUUGGAUGUUGGAUAGCAGCCAUUAUAACACAGAGUUGAUGUGCCUACAAUAAAUGUUCUGUUUGUAGCAUGCUGAAAAUCACCGAGUGCCCAGGUCUCUUCAACCUGCCAGAUGUUCUGUGCAGUGUAUUGUUUUUCAAGCAUUGUUAGCUCCAACCAAUUGGCGAGCCACGUUUGCCUGCUUUCGUGUUGAUACAAUGGCUUAGCUUCAUCCUGAUUGCCUUGACUGUUUUAUAGAUUUUUUUAAAUAAAAAAAAUCUUUCCC